UACGUAGGGAGCAAGCGUUGUCCGGAAUCAUUGGGCGUAAAGCGCGCGUAGGUGGCCCCAUAAGUCCGCUGUGAAAGUCGAAGGCUCAACCUUCGAAAGCCGGUGGAUACUGUGGGACUAGAGUACGGAAGAGGCGAGUGGAAUUCCUGGUGUAGCGGUGGAAUGCGCAGAUAUCAGGAGGAACACCAAUAGCGAAGGCAGCUCGCUGGGACGUUACUGACACUGAGGCGCGAAAGCGUGGGGAGCGAACAGG
rnacentral:rRNA from 1 species